CCUGUUUGAAUGCAACUUCCGAUGAGUAAUCCAAAUUACCUGUAUAAACACUUGUAAAAAAUGUUAGAAACAAAUAAAUAAUAAUCAAAAUAAAUUGAACAAGUAUGUGUGCAUAUAAAUAUUUAAAAAUAUAAUUUUUUUGGUUUAAAAAUGGGCUCAGAUAAAGUCAAGACUGCGAAAUGGUUGCUCAAUUAAUUGGCCGUCCUAAAUCGCUUUGCUACGAAGUGUUUGCUCAAUUAAUUGGCCGUCCCAAAUCGUCUUUCCAAAAUAUUAAUUGUAAAAUCUUGGGUUGUUAUAAAGUUUCAACAUCGCCCAAAAAAUAUUUUUAUUACGUAUUUGUAUACGUAAAAUCUGUCAUUUAUUUACGGAGGCCUCAAAUGAAUAAUAAUUUUUUUCAUCGGCCACGAUAGUAUUUGUUUGUUAUCAGUGUAUAUCCAAAAAUGAGUACAGGAAGAUAAAAUUCCAUCUAAACCAUCCCAAAAGUGUCAAACACAAUAAAACAACAUCCAAAACAAAAGUGAUCCCAAAACAAGCAAAUCAAUGGAAACAUGUAAAGAAAUGCUCAAAAGGGAGCUUGGCUGAAAAUUCAAAGCCACAAGAUCGGAGACCACAAAAGAUAUUGACGGCGUUGCUUCGAUGGUGUUCACCGGAGCAACAACGAAAAACGUGAUUACGACCAGAUCUGGCUAGUUCUUGAUGAGAAAAAUGAAAUGGGAAGUAAAGGAGGGGGGCUGCCGCGAUGUGGUGGUGGCGUGGCUGGAGCUCAAAGCUCGUCGGCCAUCAACUCUAGCGAAAUAGCGGCAUAACAAAUGAAGAAGGAGAGGGCGGCAGUGAUGGUGACUCGCCGAUCGAAGCUCGUGUGGCUUGUGUUCGGCAUUAGUUCUCCGGCGAUGUGGCUGCCGGAGAACGGAUAAACUUUUAAUGUUUUAGAUCUAUAGAGAAAGUGAAAGCUUAAAUGAAAAAAAAAUUAUGUAGUAGGCACCUGUGUAUAUAUUUUUUCAUGUGUGUUUGUCUUGGUGUUUCGUAGUGUAUGUUUAUGUGUGUUUUGUAAGAAGAAAGGGAGAUUUUUCCUGCCAUUGUCUCCGUUCAAGUCCCCUUAAUAUGAGAAUAAUAUCCCUGAUAUAUAGUACGUGUGUAUAUCCGUUGGAGCGCAUUUUCUGUGUGUGUGAAUCUGUCCAUUUAAAAUUGAUUGUUGCGAAAGAUGAGAAAUAUCAAAAUUCAAGAUUUUCUUUUGAUUUCUUUUUUACUUUUCAAAGAUCAUGUUUAUUGGUUAGGUAAAAAAGAUGAAGAGAAAGAAAAUGUGUGUCUUUUUUUGGUUUGUAUUUGAGAGAGAGAAAAAAUAUGUGUGGGUGUAUGAAAAUGUGUGUGGAGAGAGAAAAGAUGAAUAAAAUUGUCUUCCA
rnacentral:lncRNA from 1 species